CGCUGGGUUUUUGUGAGGGAAAAGCGCUCUAUCCCCCUGUGUUGACUCCCCGGAGCACCGCCAGGCUCCGAGAGGGCAUAUGUGAAGGGAAAUAGAUAUGAAGUGAAGAUAUAAGCGAAGGGAAGACGCGAGGCGGCCCCACCCCAGCCCCCCCCCCCAAGAUGGCGGCGGGCGGGCACCCACGUUACCACGUCGGCGUCUGGCGGGCAAAGAGGGCAGGUAGCCCUUCCCCGCCCCUUAAAUACCACCCGCCGCUCCCGCGAGACCCCUGUGCUGCUGCCUAUUGGUCGAGCCGGCACACGUGACUCGCACGCCCCUCAAUAAAAGGCGGCGGGGCGGUGGUGGCCGUUGGCUGGCCCCUCGGGGCGGCCGUCGGAGGGGUGGGUGCUGCUGGUUCCUCUCGGAUCCCCCUGGGAUAAAUGGUGCUGGGCUGCUUCCCUCACCGCGCUGCUGCUGUUAGGUCACCUCUUGAUGAAGUUGGGCCAUUGCUUGUUGCAAGUGUGAGGGGUUAGCACAUUCUGCGUGUGCCCAGGAAGAACUAUCAAGCGCCUGGUCAACCAUGUCAGCAGACUUCAGUCUGACUACAAAAUGUAGGCAGUCAUCAAGAAGAGUGUUUGGAGGCUUGCAUUUUGGACUCUGAUAAGUGACAGCUGUGGGCCUGUGUUAUCUUGUGGAUUUAAAGCUGAUUUUUUUUAAAGUUUGGUGAUCUAAAUCCAGCUGCUCAGGUCUUGAAGGUUGCUGCUCUAAUCCUCAAAGUCUCUUCAUGAGAUGCAUGAAUUUAGUCUCAAGGUUAUUGAUACUUUGAUAUUUGAUACUUUUCUAAGCUAUCAGAUUUUCAUUUGUUCAAAAACCUCACACUGAGUUCAUUAAAACACAAAAUUAUCACAAAUAUUUCAUUUCAAUUUCACUGUUCUUCACACUGAUAUGAAGGAAAAUCUUGGAUGUGACCAUCAGUCUUUGCUGACGAUAUCAGUAGCCAUCCACAUUAAAUAGUUGGUAGAUUUGGGACCUGACCAAACAGCUUUUUAAAACUUUGUUGUUUUUUUUUUUUUAACAAAUGUGUUGGACAAUUUACUUUGUGUAUGUAUUGCACUGUGUCCAGUGCAAUAAAACUGUGCCUUAAAAACAAAAAUGGGAGCUGUGGGAUGCUAACUUAAUAGAAGUGUAAUUUGAUUAAUUUAUGCCACAAUUUACAUAAAAUGAAAGGGCUAUUUUAAAUUCAUACUCAAAAUAGACUAAGUGCCACUUUCAGCCUGUGUACUGUCAAAAUAUCCUUUGUGGUUUGUUCUCAGUGUGUAUGUUAGUUAAAAUUAGAACCUGUAGAAUAGAACAAAAAUAAUAAAUAAAGUCUUUAGAGAAGAGGAGGGCAAACCAGACUUGUUAUUUCCUUUCCAGAGGCAGAAAUAAUACAUUUCUGUUAUUUUUCCUCAGUGAGUCUUUUCUUGUUUGGUAAAUUACCUCCAUGGCUAGAAGAUUUGGUCAUCUCUUUCUAGGCAAUACUUAAGGGCUAAGAAUCAAACAGUGUUUUUCCAACUGAAAGCCCAUUUUGCAUAGCCAAGGAAAAUGCCAGUAAAGUUUGCUGGUGAACUUGCUGAAGUACCCUAUAAAGAGGCCAUUCUACAAGCACCUAUACCGUAUGGAAACACAUGGGAAUAUUUUAAAUUGAGUAGUGUGUCAGGGAAGAUGAAUACUUGGUAAAUCAAUAAACAAAUAGCCUAAUAUAUAGACAUUCUCUUGUUGUUGUUGUUCAAAGCUCCUAAUACAUUUUUUUUUUUUGAAAUGCCAUUUAGCAGAAGAAAAAAAAAAAAAAAAAAAACAAGAGGAAGAUAUUAUGAGAUAAUCACACCUCUAGGCCAUUAUUGAGCAACAAACUGACUGUAAAGGCCUCAGCUGCCUGCUUGUAAAUUAAGUUGUUUAAUGGUUAUGACUGUAGAACUGUGAACUAUUAGCUCCUUUUGUUUACUCAGUAGGCUUCUGGUGUAUUUGCAUCUCUUUUGCUGUUUUUGGACCUCUGAAUCUGAUAUUUAAUGGCAAAAAAAAAAAAAGUCAGAUACUGUAAAAGUGUGUUUUCUUCUGUAAAACCUUUUUUGAGAAAAGGGAAGGGAGAGUACUCCCUUUCUGCCAGCUGGUAUAAUGUUUAUAUUAGCAAAGGUAGGCUAGAUUCAUAGAUGAAUUUAAUGUAAACUUCCAUCUUCUAUGCUUUAUAUUCAGUAGGUAACAAUAUGACUUGCUGAGAUUCUGUAGAUAAUGAUUACAGUGUUUAAAAUUAAAAACAAAAACUCAUAAUUUGAAGAAAUUGGUAGAAGCAGCUGUAAAGCUGAUAGUGUCUUGAAGAAGAAAGUUGUUCCUUUAUUAGACUAAGGGCCACUCCAGCCCCCCUGCCCCCAUACACACAUUUUCCUUGCACAGCCAUGAUUUUUUUUUUUUUUUUUGUGGGACUACAACCUGCUCUUAUCAUUAGAACUUCAGAAGUAGAGUGGCUUCUGUUGACCUGCUGUGAAGCAGGCACCAUAGCCUCAGUCCACAGGCUGCAAGCUGGCAUUUGGCACUGUACUGAGGUUCCCAAUCUGUUCUGCAACGGGGGCCAAGCUGCAUGGAAAAUUUCUGUUUGUAACAUUAGGAAGGGAUUGUCAUGAGAUUUACUACUGCCUUUUUUUUUUUUCUUUUUCUAUAGGAAAGCACAAUUGUUUAACUUUUUAAAUGGCCCCAACUCAUAUGAAUUCCUAUUAGUUUGAUAGUCCCAAGAGCUGUUCUUUCCCACUGAAGUUAAUGCUGAGCUAUACUAAAAGCUGAUGGUGUUAUCUAGCUCAAAUAAGGUCAAAAUGAUUUUGCCUAAUAUUUAUACAAUGUAUACUGUCUUGCCUUGCAGAAAAAUAUGAGAAACACAGACAUUUUUUGUAUUUUCAAGAAUAAAAAUUCUAUACUAUAAG